GAGGUUGUGGCUUAGUGGUAGAGCACUUGCCUUGCAUGCAUGGUGCACUGGGUUCAAUCCCCAGCACCACA
rnacentral:tRNA from 1 species